rnacentral:rRNA from 1 species
AGAGUUUGAUCAUGGCUCAGGAUGAACGCUAGCGGCAGGCUUAACACAUGCAAGUCGAGGGGCAGCGGGUCCAGCAAUGGAUGCCGGCGACCGGCGCAAGGGUGCGUAACGCGUGAGCGACAUGCCCGUGACCGGGGGAUAACCGAUGGAAACGUCGCCUAACCCCCCAUAUGAUCGGUCCCCGCAUGAGGACUGAUUGAAAACCGUGGUGGUCACGGAUUGGCUCGCGUCCCAUUAGCUAGUCGGCGGGGUAACGGCCCACCGAGGCGACGAUGGGUAGGGGUUCUGAGAGGAAGGUCCCCCGCAAUGGAACUGAGACACGGUCCAUACUCCUACGGGAGGCAGCAGUGAGGAAUAUUGGUCAAUGGGCGGAAGCCUGAACCAGCCAUGCCGCGUGCGGGACGACGGCCCUACGGGUUGUAAACCGCUUUUGUGUGUGAGCAAUAAGGCGGCCUCGCGCCGCUGAUGAGAGUAGCAUACGAAUAAGCAUCGGCUAACUCCGUGCCAGCAGCCGCGGUAAUACGGAGGAUGCGAGCGUUAUCCGGAUUCAUUGGGUUUAAAGGGUGCGUAGGCUGUGCGUUAAGUCAGGGGUGAAAUACCGUCGCUCAACGUCGGGGCUGCCCUUGAUACUGGCGUGCUGGAGUGCGGAUGCCGCCGGAGGAAUGAGUGGUGUAGCGGUGAAAUGCUUAGAUAUCACUCAGAACACCGAUUGCGAAGGCAUCUGACGAAUCCGUAACUGACGCUGAGGCACGAAAGCGUGGGGAUAGAACAGGAUUAGAUACCCUGGUAUUCCACGCCGUAAACGAUGAUGACUAACCGCCUGCGAUACAGUGUAGGUGGCCAAGCGAAAGCGAUAAGUCAUCCACCUGGGGAGUACGACCGCAAGGUUGAAACUCAAAGGAAUUGACGGGGGCCCGCACAAGCGGAGGAACAUGUGGUUUAAUUCGAUGAUACGCGAGGAACCUUACCCGGGCUCGAACGGUACAGGACGGACACAGAGAUGUGAACUCCCUUCGGGGCCUGUAUCGAGGUGCUGCAUGGUUGUCGUCAGCUCGUGUCGUGAGAUGUUGGGUUAAGUCCCGCAACGAGCGCAACCCCUAUCAUUUGUUGCCAGCACGUUAUGGUGGGAACUCAAAUGAGACUGCCGCGGACAACGCGGAGGAAGGCGGGGAUGACGUCAAGUCAUCAUGCCCCUUAUGUCCUGGGCUACACACGUACUACAAUGGGACGGACAGAGAGCAGCGAACCCGCGAGGGCAAGCGAACCCCAUAAACCGUCUCCCAGUUCGGAUUGCAGGCUGCAACCCGCCUGCAUGAAGUCGGAAUCGCUAGUAAUCGCUGGUCAGCAUGCCGCGGUGAAUACGUUCCCGGGUCUUGUACACACCGCCCGUCACACCAUGGGAGUUGGGAGCGCCCGAAGCCAGUGAGCUAACCGCAAGGAGGCAGCUGUCGAAGGUGAGACCAAUGACUGGGGUGAAGUCGUAACAAGGUAGCCGUAUCGGAAGGUGCGGCUGGAUCACCUCCUU